rnacentral:rRNA from 1 species
UGGGGAAUAUUGCACAAUGGGCGCAAGCCUGAUGCAGCCAUGCCGCGUGUGUGAAGAAGGCCUUCGGGUUGUAAAGCACUUUCAGCGGGGAGGAAGGCGGUGAGGUUAAUAACCUCAUCGAUUGACGUUACCCGCAGAAGAAGCACCGGCUAACUCCGUGCCAGCAGCCGCGGUAAUACGGAGGGUGCAAGCGUUAAUCGGAAUUACUGGGCGUAAAGCGCACGCAGGCGGUUUGUUAAGUCAGAUGUGAAAUCCCCGGGCUCAACCUGGGAACUGCAUCUGAUACUGGCAAGCUUGAGUCUCGUAGAGGGGGGUAGAAUUCCAGGUGUAGCGGUGAAAUGCGUAGAGAUCUGGGGGAAUACCGGUGGCGAAGGCGGCCCCCUGGACGAAGACUGACGCUCAGGUGCGAAAGCGUGGGGAGCAAACAGG